UACGAAGGGGACUAGCGUUGUUCGGAAUUAUUGGGCGUAAAGCGCACGUAGGCGGAUUUGUAAGUCAGGGGUGAAAUCCCGGGGCUCAACCUCGGAACUGCCUUUGAUACUGCAAAUCUCGAGUCCGAUAGAGGUGGGUGGAAUUCCUAGUGUAGAGGUGAAAUUCGUAGAUAUUAGGAAGAACACCGGUGGCGAAGGCGGCCCACUGGAUCGGUACUGACGCUGAGGUGCGAAAGCGUGGGGAGCAAACAGG
rnacentral:rRNA from 1 species